GACGAACGCUGGCGGCGUGCUUAACACAUGCAAGUCGAACGGAAAGGCCCUGCUUUUGUGGGGUGCUCGAGUGGCGAACGGGUGAGUAACACGUGAGUAACCUGCCCUUGACUUUGGGAUAACUUCAGGAAACUGGGGCUAAUACCGGAUAGGAGCUCCUGCUGCAUGGUGGGGGUUGGAAAGUUUCGGCGGUUGGGGAUGGACUCGCGGCUUAUCAGCUUGUUGGUGGGGUAGUGGCUUACCAAGGCUUUGACGGGUAGCCGGCCUGAGAGGGUGACCGGCCACAUUGGGACUGAGAUACGGCCCAGACUCCUACGGGAGGCAGCAGUGGGGAAUAUUGCACAAUGGGCGGAAGCCUGAUGCAGCAACGCCGCGUGCGGGAUGACGGCCUUCGGGUUGUAAACCGCUUUCGCCUGUGACGAAGCGUGAGUGACGGUAAUGGGUAAAGAAGCACCGGCUAACUACGUGCCAGCAGCCGCGGUGAUACGUAGGGUGCGAGCGUUGUCCGGAUUUAUUGGGCGUAAAGGGCUCGUAGGUGGUUGAUCGCGUCGGAAGUGUAAUCUUGGGGCUUAACCCUGAGCGUGCUUUCGAUACGGGUUGACUUGAGGAAGGUAGGGGAGUAUGGAAUUCCUGGUGGAGCGGUGGAAUGCGCAGAUAUCAGGAGGAACACCAGUGGCGAAGGCGGUUCCCUGGGCCUUUCCUGACGCUGAGGAGCGAAAGCGUGGGGAGCGAACAGGCUUAGAUACCCUGGUAGUCCACGCUGUAAACGGUGGGUACUAGGUGUGGGGUCCAUUCCACGGGUUCCGUGCCGUAGCUAACGCUUUAAGUACCCCGCCUGGGGAGUACGGCCGCAAGGCUAAAACUCAAAGGAAUUGACGGGGCCCCGCACAAGCGGCGGAGCAUGCGGAUUAAUUCGAUGCAACGCGUAGAACCUUACCUGGGUUUGACAUGGAUCGGGAGUGCUCAGAGAUGGGUGUGCCUCUUUUGGGGUCGGUUCACAGGUGGUGCAUGGCUGUCGUCAGCUCGUGUCGUGAGAUGUUGGGUUAAGUCCCGCAACGAGCGCAACCCUUGUUCACUGUUGCCAGCACGUUAUGGUGGGGACUCAGUGGAGACCGCCGGGGUCAACUCGGAGGAAGGUGGGGAUGACGUCAAGUCAUCAUGCCCCUUAUGUCCAGGGCUUCACGCAUGCUACAAUGGCUGGUACAGAGAGUGGCGAGCCUGUGAGGGUGAGCGAAUCUCGGAAAGCCGGUCUCAGUUCGGAUUGGGGUCUGCAACUCGACCUCAUGAAGUCGGAGUCGCUAGUAAUCGCAGAUCAGCAACGCUGCGGUGAAUACGUUCCCGGGGCU
rnacentral:rRNA from 1 species